rnacentral:rRNA from 1 species
UGGGGAAUAUUGGACAAUGGGCGCAAGCCUGAUCCAGCCAUGCCGCGUGAGUGAUGAAGGCCUUAGGGUUGUAAAGCUCUUUCGCACGCGACGAUAAUGACGGUAGCGUGAGAAGAAGCCCCGGCUAACUUCGUGCCAGCAGCCGCGGUAAUACGAAGGGGGCUAGCGUUGUUCGGAAUCACUGGGCGUAAAGGGCGCGUAGGCGGCUUUGUAAGUCGGGGGUGAAAGCCUGUGGCUCAACCACAGAAUUGCCUUCGAUACUGCGAGGCUUGAGACCGGAAGAGGUUAGUGGAACUGCGAGUGUAGAGGUGAAAUUCGUAGAUACUCGCAAGAACACCAGUGGCGAAGGCGGCUGACUGGU